GAUGAACGCUGGCGGCGCGCCUAACACAUGCAAGUCGAACGGCACCCCUCCUCGGAGGGAAGCGAGUGGCGAACGGCUGAGUAACACGUGGGGAACCUGCCCCCUCCCCCGGGAUAGCCGCCCGAAAGGACGGGUAAUACCGGAUACCCCGGGGUGCCGCAUGGCACCCCGGCUAAAGCCCCGACGGGAGGGGAUGGCUCCGCGGCCCAUCAGGUAGACGGCGGGGUGACAGCCCACCGUGCCGACAACGGGUAGCCGGGUUGAGAGACCGACCGGCCAGAUUGGGACUGAGACACGGCCCAGACUCCUACGGGAGGCAGCAGUGGGGAAUCUUGCGCAAUGGGGGGAACCCUGACGCAGCGACGCCGCGUGCGGGACGGAGGCCUUCGGGUCGUAAACCGCUUUCAGCAGGGAAGAGUCAAGACUGUACCUGCAGAAGAAGCCCCGGCUAACUACGUG
rnacentral:rRNA from 1 species